ACCGUUGUAUCUUCGCGGAAGGCCCUUCGAGCGUUUGUCAUCUCAAGCAAGGAGGUGCGCGUAUAUAUAUGUAUAUCUAUAUAUAUAUCUAUCUAUAUCUAGCUGCGGAAUGAGUCCUCAGAGCAUGCGCCAGAAUCCUCCUUCACAGCCCAAAAGCAGGUUUCUGUCGGUCUAAUGUCCAUAAAUCAGAAAGUUUGCAAUUGUAACUUCUCCGCUGCAGCUGUUUUCUUUUGUAUAGCAUUAUUUAUUGGAAGCACAUUGAUUACAGUCGAUGUGAAGGAGAAAAUAACGGCAUGGUUGCCAACUGAUUCAUCGCAGAAGUUUCAAUUUGAUUUGAACAAUAACACAGCAAACUCGAAGCCCAAUGAAUCUGACCCAUGCUCGAAUCAAUGCAGACCUUCAGGAAUUGAAGCAUUGCCUAAAGGAAUGGUUUCCCAAACAUCAGACUUGGAAAGACAGCCAUUAUGGGGUUCUAUAGAGAAAAAGGGAAAUUCAAGUUCGUUCAAGAACUUAUUAGCAAUUGCAGUUGGACUAAAGCAGAAACAAGUUGUCAAUGAAAUUGUCAAGAAGUUCCUUUUCAGUAAUUUUACCAUAAUUCUUUUCCACUAUGAUGGGGUGGUUGAUGAAUGGAGCGACUUAGAAUGGAGUGACACUGUCUUGCAUAUCUCUGCAAUCAAUCAAACAAAAUGGUGGUUUGCGAAACGUUUCUUACAUCCAGAUAUAGUCGCCUUGUACAGUUAUAUCUUUCUCUGGGACGAGGAUAUUGGAGUUGAAAAUUUUCAUCCUGGAAGAUACCUGGAGAUUGUUGAAAGGGAAGGAUUAGAUGUAUCACAACCUGGACUUGAUACUGAGAAGUCAAAAGUUCACUACCGAUUUACAGAACGUCAAAGAGAAGGUGAUGUACACAGAAGGAUUUAUGAUUUGGCACAAGGCUUGAGAUGUAAUGAGAACAGUACUGGUUUUCCAUGCGCUGGGUUUGUGGAAAUGAUGGCUCCUGUUUUCACAUGGUCUGCAUGGAGAUGUGCAUGGCAUAUGAUUCAAAACGACUUGAUUCAUGCGUGGGGUUUAGAUAUGAAACUUGGUUACUGUUCUCAGGGAGAUCGGACCAAAAAGGUUGGCGUGGUAGAUAGUGAAUACAUCACACAUAUGGGGAUUCCGACUCUUGGUGGAUCCAAUGUAAGAAAGGACUCAAAUGGAUCAUCUACCACAAAUCUCAGAGCUGCAGUGGUAGACCGGUGCUAUGCUGAACUGGACAUGUUUAACAAGAGAUGGCAAGAUGCUGCACAAAAAGAUAAAUGCUGGACUGACCGAUACCCUGAAGCCUGAAAGACCAUGUCGCUCCACCGUCCUUUCAACUCCACCACCAUCAGAAUCCCAAGUGCAGUGGGAAGUCUUUGAAUAAGGAAGCAGAGGAUAUCACUCACCUACCAUCCACCACUAAUUGUACAUGAAGACUUGCUAGCGCUACCGAGAUCACUUUUUGAGGCUAUUUUAGGUGAGUCUCGCAUUUGAAUGCUCUAUGUUCCUCCAUAUGCUUUCGGCUUUGAUACCAAUGGAAGCCGUGGUUUUCAUGUGCUGAUUAAGAGACAACAGAAAGGAUCCUUAGCGAUUCGACGUUGUUUACUAGUGCUUUAGUUGGCAACGUAGGCCUCGCUUAGACAACCAAUGGGGAAGGCCAUCUUCUUCGGUCGGUGGCUUUGCCGAUAUGACUUUUAUUUUUUUUUAUUUGCGUUGAAAUACAAUAGGUUUUGUCAUGUAUGGUCGAAUAAUCCAAUGUUACA